AUAUCCUUUAACUUUCAUAUAGCGUUGUUUUAACAUAAAUCUAAGUCUUCCUGAAGUUUAAUAUUUGGGUAAAAGUUGGGCAUUGAUAUCUAAAUCCCUAGUGGAAGCCCACGAGUGUUUACAAGAACAAGGUUUGUUGAACACAUCUAUAACAAAGACAGCGACAACGUUAUACUUGCUCACAGUGCAGAAAUAGAAGUCAAAUUACCAAGUUAGAAUAAAUAAACAAAGCGGCGGCAUUAAUGGGAAGUCCAGCAACUUAACAUGCAAUGUUUCAAUAGCACGAAGAGCAAGUGAAGAAAGUACAAACAAACAUAACGUACCACAUAAAUUGGAGCGUUUAUAUAGACCGGAAAAACCUGGGGAGGCAACAAUAAAAGCUGCGGAACAACAAGUGUACCCCUGAUAAUCGUGAGAAGCCGCGGUAUGGGCACGAUCAGGCAGCGUUAGAGAUUACAUCAUGCAUCAUUCGCAAGUGCCAGUUGUCAUCUGCAAGCACGAGGAUGAGCACCAUAAACUAAAAUAGCAUGUGCAUGUAUUCAAAUACGUACAUGUAUGUUGUGCCACUUUAAAUAUACAUGUCCAUUUAUUUGAUAAGAUCACUGCUGAUUGUCGUCAAGUUUUAUUUUGAUGUAAACUAUUUGACUAGAAAUGUCCGAUAGCGUAAUAAAGAAACGUGUUUAGAGUUUUCUCUUCCUAGUUUAGAUUUUAUAAGUGUUUACGAAAUAGGAAGUGAAGUUUCCACAAUGCGUUUUCCCGUUAUAAUGAUUACUUUUUGUUUUAUCUUAAAUAUAUUGCAUUGUUUAAUAAGCAUGUUACACACAAAUUAACAUUGUUACAAAAUAUAGUUAUAUUGGCAAUGUUAUACAAAUUUUGAGAUGCCUUUAACAAUAUUUAAACCACUUUACUAUAUAUAAAAUUACAUUUAAACGGAAGAAAUGCAAAUUUUAAAAGUAAAGUUUUCUGGUUUUAUUUCGGAGUGGUGAACAACAGACUGUAUUAUUGAGCUUAUAUAAUAUUAAUUCCUGUAUGAUUAUCACAACAGAAUAUCAUAACGAUGUAUUUCCUUAUAUAAGAGAUACUAUUGAAAAGAUACUGUUAUUAUUUACU